CAACUGCGAUAAUUAGUGUGAAUUGCAGAAGUCUGUGAAUCAUCGAGCCCUUGAACGCACUCUGCACCCUCGUGUAAACGGCGAGGGUAUGCCUGUCUGAGCAUCAUUAAUUAGCCUCACAAGCAACCAUCCUGGUGCCUGCCUGCUGGGGAGAUAAACAGGCUGGCAUUUACCCUGUGGGAUCUGCGGUAGAGCAGGUACAGGGGCAGGUCUGAGAGGCAAUGCCUCGUGGGGAGGAGGUUUGCCCCUCUGUACAAACCUACAAGGGCCCUCAAGGCUAUGUUCCAACAAGUGGGAUGCUGUUACCUGGUGGAAGCCAGUGGCACAGCCUUAGAUGGCCUACAACGCACCCAUGAUCUCAGAUCAGGUAAGGCUACCCGCUGAACUUAA
rnacentral:misc_RNA from 1 species